rnacentral:rRNA from 1 species
AUGGUUGUCGUCAGCUCGUGUCGUGAGAUGUUGGUUAAGUCCGCAACGAGCGCAACCCCUAUUGUUAGUUGCCAUCAUUCAGUUGGGCACUCUAGCGAGACUGCCGGUAAUAAACCGGAGGAAGGUGGGGAUGACGUCAAAUCAUCAUGCCCCUUAUGACCUGGGCUACACACGUGCUACAAUGGUUGGCACAACGAGUUGCGAGUCGGUGACGGCGAGCUAAUCUCUUAAAGCCAAUCUCAGUUCGGAUUGUAGGCUGCAACUCGCCUACAUGAAGUCGGAAUCGCUAGUAAUCGCGGAUCAGCACGCCGCGGUCGAAUACGUUCCCGGGCCUU